GGUCCGGUAGUUCAGUUGGUUAGAACGCCGCCCUGUCACGGCGGAGGUCACGAGUUCGAGUCUCGUUCGGAUCGCCA
rnacentral:tRNA from 1 species